rnacentral:lncRNA from 1 species
AGAAGGCCACGCCGAGAAACCUCGAAACCUUCUUAACGUAGGAGACACCGCUCGACUGAAUGACGGCGCCUUCGUCCUCGGGCGGCUGCGCGGCCAGCCGUCCACCACUUCCGCCCGCGCAUGUAGAACGGCACAAGGUUCUCGACGAAAUGUCCUCGGGCGGUACCCUCCGGCGCGCUACGUUCGACGAAAUGGCCAUGGAGCAGGUCCUGGACGAGGCGAGACGCGCGCGAGGUGCUCGACGAAAUGUCCAGGCAGGCAAGUUAAGCCUCGCAUGGUCGCGUCGCCGCCGCGUCAUGCCGCAGCAGGUUCGGCAUCAGCAGGUCGGUUAACUUCCUGUGUAUAUACUAUAGUUGUAGAUUACAUGAGCAAUGGCUACGCGCUCUCCUCAAUGUUCCUUCCAGGACUUGACAUUUUUGGUCAACGCACCGUAAUAACUUUGCACAGAAGUAAGCUAAGACAUAGAGGGAGAGCGCACAGAUAUAUCAUUUGUUAGUUAUUCCACAAAACCCUUUCAAUGACAAGGCAAAAAAACAUACAGUCAAGAUCUAGGCUCACAUGUGUCCACACACUCAAUUAAUAGAUAAGAUGCAAGCAAGAUAACCUUAAACAGGCGCUGUCAGAAUUGACAUUAUUCAGUUCUUUCUACCUCUGAGAGUGACGGUCUAACUAACCGAUAGUGAAUAUGCGCAGACCUGGAAUUUCUUGACAGAAACUGAUAAGCUUGUUUGCAUUGAUUAGGGCUAAGCCCAAGUUUCAUAAAUCUACAGUAGUGAUUGAUGACAACAUUGCAAUUGGUGUAGCAUGGUGGACUACUGGACUAUUCCGUAGCAGAAAACCAAUCCUCAUCAGAACGGAUUGGGAACCGCUAGAAACUUACCCUGUCAGGCCAAUGUUCUUUAUGCAAUAUAUAUUGCAGUGAGAAGUGAAUUGAAGACACUUGUUUGACCAUCUCACUUCUAUCUUAAUCGGUAUGGUUAACAUUGAACUAAGACCAAAGACUUUUUUGUUAGUGACUAAAUAGUGCAAGAAAAACACCACGAUGUUCAGCAAGGUUGAUUUCAGUGGUCGUGAGAUGUGAUGUCAGCCAACCAAGUCGUAUGAAGUAGGAUGAUGAUUCAUGUACAAAGGAAAUUAAACAAUUUCACCUUGCUGUUUGCAAGAAACUGCAGUUCAGUCAACUUCCUGACUAACUAAUCUGUAGCCCUGGAAACCUUUAUUUAAAGUAAUGUUAUUUUCAUGGGGAAAAAACAGAGAUUUCUUGUACCAGAAGUGACAAAAUUCUGUCAGUGGCUCAGUGCAACAAUUAUUAGACAACGUAAUAUUUAGGACAUACCAUUAGCAUACUUUAAAGAAGACAGUAGUUGAAUUUGGUUCUCAACAAAACUGGUGUCGAGUCGAGUACUUGUCAGCAAAUUGAGUCAAAUAGAUUGAAUUAAAGUAAGGGUGCUGCUGAUGAUCGUAUCCUCAUUGAUCUCACCGCUUUAAUUAGGGCUAAAACAUACGUUUGGGUAGAGAAAUGCACACGGCCACACGCUUAAUUUGCAGAGGAAUUGAACAUUUGGCACUGCCGGGCUGCCGGCUCAUUUACUUCUCUUGCAAACAGGCUCACAAAAUGUACUGAUGACAGAUAAAACAGCACAUCAACAUUAUUAAUUUAUGGAACUUAACAAACCAGAUUAUUUAUCGCAUCACACUGACAUCACAUCACACACACACACACAUGUACUGACAACAGAUCAGCUCGCAGCCACCAGCUGGGUGGUGGUAGGGUUGAUGACCCUGCAGUUGCGCCUGAUCUCGCCCUGCGACCUGGAGAGCACCUCAAUCUGGCCCAGCUUGAUCAUGGACCGUGCGAAAGCCGUCUUGAACGCAGCCUCGCUGCUCACGAAGGAGUCCACCAGUGCUCUCAUGGUGGUGUUGGUCAGCAGCGCCGCAUCAGACUCGAAGAGGCCCAGGUUGUUGACGAGCCCCAGGUAGUAUUUGUUGUCGAACCUCACCGGCGUCAUCAGGUCCAUCAGCGUCGUCAUCGUCGGGAACGUCUGGUUGCUGUUCGGCGGGCAGAUGCCCUUCAGCAGGAACGCGUACGCCUUGCUCAGCGCCGGAUCAAUCUGAAAAUAAGGAAUCAAUUCGUGUAUUAUGAUGAUAAUAUAGUAUAUCUCUUUUGGAUUAUGUGUUUUGUUGUUGAAUGAUUAUAUUAUUACUUUGUCGGAUGAGUUGAAAUUGUAGAGGCGGUCGGUGAAGCUGCUGCAGUGGGAGACGCCGAUGGUGUGGGCGCCGGAGAGAAUGACGAUGUCGUCG